rnacentral:rRNA from 1 species
UACGUAGGUGGCGAGCGUUGUCCGGAUUUACUGGGCAUAAAGAGCGCGCAGGCGGUCGUUCAAGUCGCGUGUGAAAGCCCCCGGCUCAACUGGGGAGGGUCACGCGAUACUGAUCGACUCGAAGGCAGGAGAGGGUAGUGGAAUUCCCGGUGUAGUGGUGAAAUUCGUAGAUAUCGGGAGGAACACCGGUGGCGAAGGCGGCGACCUGGGUCGAGACUGACGCUGAGGCGCGAAAGCGUGGGGAGCAAACAGG